UACUGCAUAAAUCCAUGAUUUGAAAAAUAUUAGGACGAUGUCAGAAAGUCACAUUCCUUUAUGGAAAUAAAACCCGAUAGUUUGGACAAUCAUUUGAUAUUUUCAAUGGGCGGAAGGAUAGGAAGAUAAUCUGAUAUUGAAACACUGACUGUUCAAAGACAUUUUUGUUUGAUAUUUAAUUUAUAUGAAGGAUAUCUUGGUGUGGCGUAGGUAGCAAGUAAGGGGACAGCACUCGUCUGUUUAUAAGGAGUUAUCGUUGUAGUAAACGCAUCAACACGAAAGUUUCCGAAUGACAAGAGUUAUCUCCCAUUUCGUCUAUCAUAUUGAAAACGACAUGUUUGCCAGUUACGUAGCUUUCGCCGGGAAAUUUGAAUAUUCUGACACGAAUGC
rnacentral:lncRNA from 1 species